GCGUUGAUGGUAUAGUGGUGAGCAUAGCUGCCUUUCAAGCAGUUGAGCCGGGUUCGCUUCCCGGCCACUGCA
rfam:Lepisosteus oculatus linkage group LG22, whole genome shotgun sequence.